rnacentral:rRNA from 1 species
UACGUAGGGGGCAAGCGUUGUCCGGAAUCAUUGGGCGUAAAGAGCGCGUAGGCGGUCCGAUAAGUCGGUUGUGAAAACUGGGGGCUCAACCCUGAGAGGCCGGCCGAUACUGUCGGGCUAGAGUCCGGAAGAGGCGAGUGGAAUUCCUGGUGUAGCGGUGAAAUGCGCAGAUAUCAGGAGGAACACCAAUGGCGAAGGCAGCUCGCUGGGACGGUACUGACGCUGAGGCGCGAAAGCGUGGGGAGCAAACAGG